rnacentral:rRNA from 1 species
AACCUCCGCAAUGUGAGAAAUCGCGACGGGGGGAUCCCAAGUGCCAUUCUUAACGGGAUGGCUUUUCAUUAGUGUAAAAAGCUUUUGGAAUAAGAGCUGGGCAAGACCGGUGCCAGCCGCCGCGGUAACACCGGCAGCUCUAGUGGUAGCAAUUUUUAUUGGGCCUAAAGCGUCCGUAGCCGGUUUAAUAAGUCUCUGGUGAAAUCCUGUAGCUUAACUGUGGGAAUUGCUGGAGAUACUAUUAGGCUUGAGACCGGGAGAGGUUAGAGGUACUCCCAGGGUAGAGGUGAAAUUCUGUAAUCCUGGGAGGACCGCCUGUUGCGAAGGCGUCUAACUGGAACGGUUCUGACGGUGAGGGACGAAAGUUAGGGGCGCGAACCGGAUUAGAUACCCGGGUAGUCCUAACUGUAAACGAUGCGGACUUGGUGUUGGGGUGGCUUUGAGCUGCUCCAGUGCCGAAGGGAAGCUGUUAAGUCCGCCGCCUGGGAAGAACGGUCGCAAGACUGAAACUUAAAGGAAGU